GGACUCAUGGCUUAGUGGUUAAAGUGCCUGCCUAGUAAGCAGGAUAUCCUGGGUUUGAAUCCCAGUAGGGCCU